rnacentral:rRNA from 1 species
CCUACGGGAGGCUGCAGUGGGGAAUAUUGCACAAAGGGCGCAAGCCUGAUGCAGCCAUGCCGCGUGUGUGAAGAAGGCCUUCGGGUUGUAAAGCACUUUCAGCGGGGAGGAAGGCGUUAAGGUUAAUAACCUUGGCGAUUGACGUUACCCGCAGAAGAAGCACCGGCUAACUCCGUGCCAGCAGCCGCGGUAAUACGGAGGGUGCAAGCGUUAAUCGGAAUUACUGGGCGUAAAGCGCACGCAGGCGGUCUGUCAAGUCGGAUGUGAAAUCCCCGGGCUCAACCGGGGAACUGCAUUCGAAACUGGCAGGCUAGAGUCUUGUAGAGGGGGGUAGAAUUCCAGGUGUAGCGGUGAAAUGCGUAGAGAUCUGGAGGAAUACCGGUGGCGAAGGCGGCCCCCUGGACAAAGACUGACGCUCAGGUGCGAAAGCGUGGGGAGCAAACAGGAUUAGAUACCCCGGUAGUC